rnacentral:rRNA from 1 species
UACGUAGGGUGCAAGCGUUCAUCGGAAUUACUGGGCGUAAAGCGUACGCAGGCGGCUUUGCAAGACGGAUGUGAAAUCCCCGGGCUCAACCUGGGAACUGCAUUUGUGACUGCAUGGCUAGAGUUUGUCAGAGGGGGGUGGAAUUCCACGUGUAGCAGUGAAAUGCGUAGAGAUGUGGAGGAACACCGAUGGCGAAGGCAGCCCCCUGGGAUGUGACUGACGCUCAUGUACGAAAGCGUGGGGAGCAAACAGG